rnacentral:rRNA from 1 species
UACGUAGGGUGCAGGCGUUAAUCGGAAUUACUGGGCGUAAAGCGUGCGCAGGCGGUCUUUUAAGUCAGAUGUGAAAUCCCCGGGCUUAACCUGGGAACUGCGUUUGAAACUGGAAGGCUUGAGUGUGGCAGAGGGGGGUGGAAUUCCACGUGUAGCAGUGAAAUGCGUAGAGAUGUGGAGGAACACCGAUGGCGAAGGCAGCCCCCUGGGCUAACACUGACGCCCAUGCACGAAAGCGUGGGGAGCAAACAGG